rnacentral:snoRNA from 2 species
UGGCACCAAUAUUUAUUUUUACCUGCCUUCUUUUAUGAUGGUUGGACUUAAUAUGGUGCUUAGAAGAAAUGCUGCUCUUGUAGUAGCGGCGGCCAGACAACCGUUGAGAGAUAGAUCCACAGAUGAACAAUCUUCUGCUGUUUGUCUACUAAUUCUAUCUCACAUUC